CUGUAAAGCGAUGAGUGCUAAGUGUUAGAGGGUUUCCGCCCUUUAGUGCUGAAGUUAACGCAUUAAGCACUCCGCCUGGGGAGUACGGCCGCAAGUGCUGAUAACUCAAAGGAAUUGACGGGGGCCCGCACAAGCGGUGGAGCAAUGUGGUUUAAUUCGAAGCAACGCGAAGAACCUUACCAGGUCUUGACAUCCUCUGACAACCCUAGAGAUUAGGGCUUCUCCUUUCGGGAUGCAGAGUGACAGGUGGUGUCAUUGGUUGUCGUCAUGCUCGUGUCGUGAGAUGUUGGGUUAAGUCCCGCAAACGAGCGCAACCCUUGAUCUUAGUUGCCAUCAUUAAGUUUGGGCACUUCUAAGGUGAUCUGUCCGGUGACAAACCGGAGGAAGGUGGGGAUGACGCUCAAAUCAUCAUGCCCCUUAUGACCUGGGCUACACACGUGUCUACAAUGGCACGGUACAUAAGAGCUGCAAGACCGCGAGGUGGAGCUAAUCUCAUAAAACCGUUCUCAGUUCGGAUUGUAGUGUCUGCAACUCGCCUACAUGAAGUCUGGAACUCGNUAGUAAUCGCGAUCAGUCACCCGGUGUNUUUNUUUUUUUUGG
rnacentral:rRNA from 1 species